GAGGCGGCCUUUGUACAUCCACUUCUGCAGCUUCCUGACUGUCACUGCAGGCGGCUUGAGUCAAAGGCUCCAGCCUCUAAAUGUGGUUUGAUAUGUACUUCCUUGGUGAGUGUCUGGUCUCUGCAUCCUGAAACAGUUGGGCCUGAAUCCCUGCGGAAAUCUUACCCACCUUUUAAGACUCCAUUCAGCUGCCCUCUUCAUGAAGUCAUCUCUCAUCUUCCACAGAGACAUGAACCAGCGGUAUUCUGUUCAUACCCACUCAGAGUAUGUUUGUUGUGUUUUUGUUUUAUACAAGACAGUCUCCCAUACAAGAAAAUUUAUAAACUCCAUGAGGGCAGGGACUAUUUGUAAUUGACUUCUGUAUUCUUCAUAGAGCAUAAGCGUAGUGUCUUACAUACUGUACGUGAUGAAUAAGUAUUUUUAAACUAAUGUCAACUUUAAUAUGAAGGAAACAAAUGGCUUUAAUUUCCGUC